rnacentral:rRNA from 1 species
CCUACGGGUCGCAGCAGUAGGGAAUCUUCGGCAAUGGACGAAAGUCUGACCGAGCAACGCCGCGUGAGUGAAGAAGGUUUUCGGAUCGUAAAACUCUGUUGUUAGAGAAGAACAAGUAGGAGAGUAACUGCUCUUACCUUGACGGUAUCUAACCAGAAAGCCACGGCUAACUACGCGCCAGCAGCCGCGGUAAUACGUAAGUGGCAAGCGUUGUCCGGAUUUAUUGGGCGUAAAGCGAGCGCAGGCGGUCUUUUAAGUCUGAUGUGAAAGCCCUCGGCUCAACCGAGGAAGGUCAUUAGAAGCUGGAGGACUUGAGUGCUGAAGAGGAGAGUGGAAUUCCCUGUGUAGCGGUGAAAUGCGUAGAUAUAUGGAGGAACACCAGUGGCGAAGGCGACUCUCUGGUCUGUAACUGACGCUGAGGCUCGAAAGCGUGGGGAGCAAACAGGAUUAGAUACCCUCGUAGUC